CCUUCGAUAGCUCAGUUGGUAGAGCGGAGGACUGUAGGUUAGUCAUGGUAAUCCUUAGGUCGCUGGUUCGAAUCCGGCUCGAAGGA
rfam:Cricetulus griseus cell line CHO-K1, whole genome shotgun sequence.